rnacentral:rRNA from 1 species
UGACGGUAGUGGACGAAUAAGCCACGGCUAACUACGUGCCAGCAGCCGCGGUAAUACGUAGGUGGCGAGCGUUGUCCGGAAUUAUUGGGCGUAAAGAGCAUGUAGGCGGUUGCUUAAGUCUGGAGUGAAAAUGCGGGGCUCAACCCCGUAUGGCUUUGGAUACUGGGCAGCUUGAGUGCAGGAGAGGAAAGGGGAAUUCCCAGUGUAGCGGUGAAAUGCGUAGAUAUUGGGAGGAACACCAGUGGCGAAGGCGCCUUUCUGGACUGUGUCUGACGCUGAGAUGCGAAAGCCAGGGGAGCAAACAGGAUUAGAUACCCUG